rnacentral:rRNA from 2 species
UACGUAGGGUCCGAGCGUUGUCCGGAAUUAUUGGGCGUAAAGGGCUCGUAGGCGGUUUGUCGCGUCGGGAGUGAAAACACGGGGCUUAACCCCGUGCCUGCUUCCGAUACGGGCAGACUAGAGGUAUGCAGGGGAGAACGGAAUUCCUGGUGUAGCGGUGAAAUGCGCAGAUAUCAGGAGGAACACCGGUGGCGAAGGCGGUUCUCUGGGCAUUACCUGACGCUGAGGAGCGAAAGUGUGGGGAGCGAACAGG